CAAAGACGACUUGGGACAAUGCCAAGAGUGAAUGUCAAAAAUACGACUCAAAACUGGUUGAAAUCAAAACAGAGUCAAAGAACUCGUGGAUACAGGAAAAAUUUUUGCCCAAGAAAGCUGAUUGUCCUCACGUUUUUGACUGCGCUGUGUGGAUUGGGGCAACAGACCGGAAUGUGGAG